AGAGAUCUGCGGAAUUCGGCCUUCGGAAAGAGCCCCCGGGCCGGGGCACGGAGAGAGCCGAGCGCCGCAGCCGUGAGCCGAAUAGAGCCGGAGAGACCCGAGUAUGACCGGAGAAGCCCAGGCCGGCCGGAAGAGGAGCCGAGCGCGGCCGGAAGGAACCGAGCCCGUCCGAAGGGAGCGGAGCGCAGCCUGGCCUGGGGCCCGGUCGAGCCCGCGCCAUGGCGGCCGAGGCGACAGCUGUGGCCGGAAGCGGGGCUGUUGGCGGCUGCCUGGCCAAAGACGGCUUGCAGCAGUCUAAGUGCCCGGACACUACCCCAAAACGGCGGCGCGCCUCGUCGCUGUCGCGUGACGCCGAGCGCCGAGCCUACCAAUGGUGCCGGGAGUACUUGGGCGGGGCCUGGCGCCGAGUGCAGCCCGAGGAGCUGAGGGUUUACCCCGUGAGCGGAGGCCUCAGCAACCUGCUCUUCCGCUGCUCGCUCCCGGACCACCUGCCCAGCGUUGGCGAGGAGCCCCGGGAGGUGCUUCUGCGGCUGUACGGAGCCAUCUUGCAGGGCGUGGACUCCCUGGUGCUAGAAAGCGUGAUGUUCGCCAUACUUGCGGAGCGGUCGCUGGGGCCCCAGCUGUACGGAGUCUUCCCAGAGGGCCGGCUGGAACAGUACAUCCCAAGUCGGCCAUUGAAAACUCAAGAGCUUCGAGAGCCAGUGUUGUCAGCAGCCAUUGCCACGAAGAUGGCGCAAUUUCAUGGCAUGGAGAUGCCUUUCACCAAGGAGCCCCACUGGCUGUUUGGGACCAUGGAGCGGUACCUAAAACAGAUCCAGGACCUGCCCCCAACUGGCCUCCCUGAGAUGAACCUGCUGGAGAUGUACAGCCUGAAGGAUGAGAUGGGCAACCUCAGGAAGUUACUAGAGUCUACCCCAUCGCCAGUCGUCUUCUGCCACAAUGACAUCCAGGAAGGGAACAUCUUGCUGCUCUCAGAGCCAGAAAAUGCUGACAGCCUCAUGCUGGUGGACUUCGAGUACAGCAGUUAUAACUAUAGGGGCUUUGACAUUGGGAACCAUUUUUGUGAGUGGGUUUAUGAUUAUACUCACGAGGAAUGGCCUUUCUACAAAGCAAGGCCCACAGACUACCCCACUCAAGAACAGCAGUUGCAUUUUAUUCGUCAUUACCUGGCAGAGGCAAAGAAAGGUGAGACCCUCUCCCAAGAGGAGCAGAGAAAACUGGAAGAAGAUUUGCUGGUAGAAGUCAGUCGGUAUGCUCUGGCAUCCCAUUUCUUCUGGGGUCUGUGGUCCAUCCUCCAGGCAUCCAUGUCCACCAUAGAAUUUGGUUACUUGGACUAUGCCCAGUCUCGGUUCCAGUUCUACUUCCAGCAGAAGGGGCAGCUGACCAGUGUCCACUCCUCAUCCUGACUCCACCCUCCCACUCCUUGGAUUUCUCCUGGAGCCUCCAGGGCAGGACCUUGGAGGGAGGAACAACGAGCAGAAGGCCCUGGCGACUGGGCUGAGCCCCCAAGUGAAACUGAGGUUCAGGAGACCGGCCUGUUCCUGAGUUUGAGUGCCGACCAACCCCCAGGAUGGCGGAAGCUCACCAGGCCGUGGCCUUCCAGUUCACGGUGACCCCAGACGGGGUCGACUUCCGGCUCAGUCGGGAGGCCCUGAAACACGUCUACCUGUCUGGGAUCAACUCCUGGAAGAAACGCCUGAUCCGCAUCAAGAAUGGCAUCCUCAGGGGCGUGUACCCUGGCAGCCCCACCAGCUGGCUGGUCGUCAUCAUGGCAACAGUGGGUUCCUCCUUCUGCAACGUGGACAUCUCCUUGGGGCUGGUCAGUUGCAUCCAGAGAUGCCUCCCUCAGGGGUGUGGCCCCUACCAGACCCCGCAGACCCGGGCACUUCUCAGCAUGGCCAUCUUCUCCACGGGCGUCUGGGUGACGGGCAUCUUCUUCUUCCGCCAAACCCUGAAGCUGCUUCUCUGCUACCAUGGGUGGAUGUUUGAGAUGCAUGGCAAGACCAGCAACUUGACCAGGAUCUGGGCUAUGUGUAUCCGCCUUCUAUCCAGCCGGCACCCUAUGCUCUACAGCUUCCAGACAUCUCUGCCCAAGCUUCCUGUGCCCAGGGUGUCAGCCACAAUUCAGCGGUACCUAGAGUCUGUGCGCCCCUUGUUGGAUGAUGAGGAAUAUUACCGCAUGGAGUUGCUGGCCAAAGAAUUCCAGGACAAGACUGCCCCCAGGCUGCAGAAAUACCUGGUGCUCAAGUCAUGGUGGGCAAGUAACUAUGUGAGUGACUGGUGGGAAGAGUACAUCUACCUUCGAGGCAGGAGCCCUCUCAUGGUGAACAGCAACUAUUAUGUCAUGGACCUUGUGCUCAUCAAGAAUACAGACGUGCAGGCAGCCCGCCUGGGAAACAUCAUCCACGCCAUGAUCAUGUAUCGCCGUAAACUGGACCGUGAAGAAAUCAAGCCUGUGAUGGCACUGGGCAUAGUGCCUAUGUGCUCCUACCAGAUGGAGAGGAUGUUCAACACCACUCGGAUCCCGGGCAAGGACACAGAUGUGCUACAGCACCUCUCAGACAGCCGGCACGUGGCUGUCUACCACAAGGGACGCUUCUUCAAGCUGUGGCUCUAUGAGGGCGCCCGUCUGCUCAAGCCUCAGGAUCUGGAGAUGCAGUUCCAGAGGAUCCUGGACGACCCCUCCCCACCUCAGCCUGGGGAGGAGAAGCUGGCAGCCCUCACUGCAGGAGGAAGGGUGGAGUGGGCGCAGGCACGCCAGGCCUUCUUUAGCUCUGGAAAGAAUAAGGCUGCCUUGGAGGCCAUCGAGCGUGCCGCUUUCUUCGUGGCCCUGGAUGAGGAAUCCUACUCCUAUGACCCCGAAGAUGAGGCCAGCCUCAGCCUCUAUGGCAAGGCCCUGCUACAUGGCAACUGCUACAACAGGUGGUUUGACAAAUCCUUCACUCUCAUUUCCUUCAAGAAUGGCCAGUUGGGUCUCAAUGCAGAGCAUGCGUGGGCAGAUGCUCCCAUCAUUGGGCACCUCUGGGAGUUUGUCCUGGGCACAGACAGCUUCCACCUGGGCUACACGGAGACCGGGCACUGCCUGGGCAAACCGAACCCUGCGCUCGCACCUCCUACACGGCUGCAGUGGGACAUUCCAAAACAGUGCCAGGCGGUCAUCGAGAGUUCCUACCAGGUGGCCAAGGCGUUGGCAGACGACGUGGAGUUGUACUGCUUCCAGUUCCUGCCCUUUGGCAAAGGCCUCAUCAAGAAGUGCCGGACCAGCCCUGAUGCCUUUGUGCAGAUCGCGCUGCAGCUGGCUCACUUCCGGGGGUAAGUUCUGCCUGACCUAUGAGGCCUCAAUGACCAGAAUGUUCCGGGAGGGACGGACUGAGACUGUGCGUUCCUGUACCAGCGAGUCCACAGCCUUUGUGCAGGCCAUGAUGGAGGGGUCCCACACAAAAGCAGACCUGCGAGAUCUCUUCCAGAAGGCUGCUAAGAAGCACCAGAAUAUGUACCGCCUGGCCAUGACCGGGGCAGGGAUCGACAGGCACCUCUUCUGCCUUUACUUGGUCUCCAAGUACCUAGGAGUCAGCUCUCCUUUCCUUGCUGAGGUGCUCUCGGAACCCUGGCGUCUCUCCACCAGCCAGAUCCCCCAAUCCCAGAUCCGCAUGUUCGACCCAGAGCAGCACCCCAAUCACCUGGGCGCUGGAGGUGGCUUUGGCCCUGUAGCAGAUGAUGGCUAUGGAGUUUCCUACAUGAUUGCAGGCGAGAACACGAUCUUCUUCCACAUCUCCAGCAAGUUCUCAAGCUCAGAGACGAACGCCCAGCGCUUUGGAAACCACAUCCGCAAAGCCCUGCUGGACAUUGCUGAUCUUUUCCAAGUUCCCAAGGCCUACAGCUGAAGGUUGGAGAAAUGCCAGCUGCCCUUUCGUCCCCACACUGUGGAGGAAGGGACCUGUGGCAGCUCACAGGCAUGAGGGGUGGCCGUGCACAGGUGCCCAGGCUCCAAGGACAGCUCCGGCAGCAGGUCCUCGCUGGGCAGAUGCUGCUCCCUGAGGGCCCAGGUGGUGGAGCCCUUAGGUACCUGUGUUUUGUUUGGGAACUCGGAGGCCCUCCCCCUCCCCCAGCUCAGACCACAGAGGUGGCAAGAGAAGGGCUGAAGCUGGAAGACUGUUCAUGAGGGACUUGUGUGACCUGCUUUGAAAUGUGUGACUCUGCUGAGUGACGUAGGCUCUGAGAUAGCUGUCCACGCCCACGUGUUUGCUUGGAAUAAAUACUUGCCUCAGAACCUUCAAAAAAAAAAAAAAAAAA
rnacentral:lncRNA from 1 species